AAAUAUUGCUUAUGUUCAGUAAAUCAUCUUCCAGUGCAGUGAAACGAAGUAAAUGGUGUAUGCACUUCUGCGCAUGUUUCUGGAGGAGGAAGUCCAUAUCUUUAGUCAGAAUCUCUAUCGAUUUAGCUAUUGUGGAGGCAGUAGGUUGCUCUGGAUAAAUCUGAGCAAAGGAAUGAGAGGAAAUCAGCUCAUUUGAAGAAUAUGGGAUGCGAAGCUUUGACACGACAAUGGCGAGUAAUUUAGGGAUUCAGGUUAUCCCCCGCAUCUGAGUAAUCUGAAGGUAAUUUUCUAGCUAGAGCUUCUCAAAGGUAGGAACCUUGUGUUAUCUUUUUUGUUCAUACUGUCUGAGCACAGUGCAGGAGACAUAAUAGGGACUCCAAAAAUGUUGAGUUAAAUUGAAAUCACUGUAUGAAUAGUGAAAGCUGGACUGUAGCACCAAUAAUAAAUGCUCUUCUGUCUUA
rnacentral:lncRNA from 10 species